AUGAACGCUGGCGGCGUGCCUAAUCCCUGCAAGUCGAGCGAACGGACGAGAAGCUUGCUUCUCUGAUGUUAGCGGCGGCCGGGUGAGUAACCCGUGGAUAACCUACCUAUAAGACUGGGAUAACUUCGGGAAACCGGAGCUAAUACCGGAUAAUAUUUUGAACCGCAUGGUUCAAAAGUGAAAGACGGUCUUGCUGUCACUUAUAGAUGGAUCCGCGCUGCAUUAGCUAGUUGGUAAGGUAACGGCUUACCAAGGCAACGAUGCAUAGCCGACCUGAGAGGGUGAUCGGCCACACGGGAACUGAGACACGGUCCAGACUCCUACGGGAGGCAGCAGUAGGGAAUCUUCCGCAAAGGGCGAAAGCCUGACGGAGCAACGCCGCGUGAGUGAUGAAGGUCUUCGGAUCGUAAAACUCUGUUAUUAGGGAAGAACAUAUGUGUAAGUAACUGUGCACAUCUUGACGGUACCUAAUCAGAAAGCCACGGCUAACUACGUG
rnacentral:rRNA from 1 species